rnacentral:rRNA from 1 species
UACGUAGGUGGCAAGCGUUGUCCGGAUUUAUUGGGUUUAAAGGGUGCGUAGGCGGUUUUGUAAGUCAGUGGUGAAAUACUCCAGCUUAACUGGAGGGGUGCCAAUGAUACUGCAGAACUUGAGUACAGAUGAGGUAGGCGGAAUUGACGGUGUAGCGGUGAAAUGCGCAGAUAUCGGGAGGAACACCAGUGGCGAAGGCGGCGACCUGGGCCAAUAUUGACGCUGAGGUGCGAAAGCGUGGGGAGCAAACAGG